CUUCACAUAUGCUGCACAUAUGCUAGAACUGGAAUGAUUCAGAGAUUGGCAUGGCCUCUGCACAAGAGUGACACACAAAUUCCUGAAGCAUUCCAUACUUUU
ensembl:snRNA U6 U6 spliceosomal RNA